rnacentral:lncRNA from 1 species
AGGCACCGGUAAAGAAGCACAGAAGUAUGUACUGAGGGUGUUAAUUCUGAACAUGGAGAGACUGCACGUUCUGAAACACAUCUUAGCGUUUCUAUGUCCACAUGUGUGUAUUGCAUUUCAAACAUUUUUAUUAUUAGUAUUAUUAUUUUGCUGGGUCGUGUCAAUAGAACUGACAGCAUCCUGUGACCUUAUAUUCACCUUUAGUGCUUUCUAAGUAAAACUCAGUGUCUUAAUAUAGCCAAAGGAAAGAAAAUCCUAGUGAGAGAAUGAACUUUUUCUGACCUUCCUGCUUUGUGAAAUGCAAUCCCAUUUUCCUGGCGUUUGGUGAGGAUAACUGAGUUUGCACUGGUAACUAGGAGGAUGCUCGGGAGCCCCAGGAACCAUGAACAGGAACAAUGAUGGUCAGAAAGCACGUUCGGUUAUGUGGAUUCAGUGACACAAACCUCAAGAAACCUGGUGGCUUUUGGCACUGCAUGUGAUUAGAGACAAAAUGAUCUAUUUCAUCUUCCGGAAAAAUCAAUAAAUACAUACAUAAAAGAGUGCCUUCAAGUCCUUUGAGCUAUUAAGAAUAGCUAACGUUUUGAUUGCUUAUUGCAUGUCUAUUGCUGUUCUAAGGGCUACAUAUGUAUUCACUCAUUUCUUCUUACAACAUCCUUGUGUGGCCCACGGUCGUGUUAUUUUCAUUCCCAUUUUAUAGAUAAGAAAGUGGAGGCCACGAACUGGAGAACUCCCUGCUCAAGUUGCAUAGCUAACAAGGGACUGAGCUGGGACUCCUGGCCAGCAGUGUGGCUACAGGCCUGACUUCUACCUUCCCCUUCUUGGCAACCACCUUCACAGAGGAAUGCAAGAGCUCUUCACCAGACACCCCACAAUGUGUAAGUCACAAAACCCAGCUGAAGAACAGCCAAGACUCCACCAGCCUUCACACCUCAGCACCCAAGCCCUAGCGUGGGCUAUCCACUUGCUGAGGGAGAGAGGCUGCGUCCCAGCUUGGCACAGGACACCCAGAGACCAGCAUGGCCUGGGUGAGGCAAGCGCAGAACCUGGGCUUGCUGGGGGCACUCCAGAGUCAGGAGGGAGAAUCCCAGCUCACAAAACUGUCUGGAAAUUGAGUGGAAAGAUCUUAAAGCGUACCUUUUAUUACGUAGAAUGAAGUCCCAUUUUAUUCAUCCAGGAAUAUUUAUUCAUUGAGGACCCACUCUGUGCGUGGCGCUGUGUAAGGUCACUAAAAAAGACUUGGCAGGAUGGCCUUUAUUAGUCAUGCGUGUAAAAUCUGACCCUCCAGGUUAGCAUCCGGCCAGACGUUUGUUCACUUCAAAUGCUCGUUGAGUGACUUCUAGGAGGUGCACAUCGCGCUGGGUGCUGAGAAGGCACAAUAGCUACAGACUUGGAAGACUGCUGAGCAGGGGAGUGACUGCCCUGGGCACCCCUUGUUGAUGUGAUUGGAAAUUGCUCUGGGGAGACAGGUGGCACUGGGGCAGGGAAGGGCCCAGACACUUGAGGGAAAGUGCCUGCACUGUCAGCCUGCCAAAGGCUGCAAGGGUUGUAUCCCAUGUCUCCCAAGCAUCAUAUCAUCAGCCUUUCAAAUGUGUCAAGUCAUUUAAUUCCCACAACAGGCUGAUGAAGUAGGCACUGCUAUUCCAUGCUCCCUGCUUUGUCUAUGGGGAAGGUGUUGCAUGGAGAACUUAGGUAACUUGCCUGAGGUCACACAGCUAACCUGGCAGUUCUGGAAGGUAACUCACAACAGAUUGCCUCUAAGUUAAGUUCCAUUCAGGCAUUCAAAAUAGAAUUCUUUUCACAAAAUGCAUUUCACAACUUUUUCAGGAGAGCGGUUGUGCACCGUGAAUAAGCACUCAGCAGGUGGGCAUGGCUAGAGCUGGGAUGUUUGUCUCCACCAAAUCUCAUGUUGAAAUUUGAUCCCCAGUGUUAGGAGGUGGGGCCUAAUGGAAGGUGUACGGGUCAAGAGGGUGAAUCCUUCAUGAUAGAUGAAUGUCCUCUCUGGGUAGGGUGAGGGAGAGUGAGUUCUCACUCUGUUAGUUUGUGAGAGCUGGUUGUUAAAAAGAGUGGAUCACUUGAGGUCAGGAGUUCAAGACUAGCCUGGCCAACAUGGCAAAACCCGUCUCUACUAAAAAUACAAAAAAAAAAAAAAUUAGCUGGGCAUGGUGGCAUGCACCUGUAAUCGCAGCUACUCAGGAGGCUGAGACAGGAGAAUUGCUUGAACCUGGAAUGUGGAGGUUGUUGCAGUGAGCCAAGAUCGCACCAUUGCAGUCCAGCCUGGGUGUCAGAGUGAGACUCCAUCUCAAAAAAAAAAAAAAAAAAAAGAGCUUGGCACCUUCAUGUCCUCUUUCUUGCUUCUCCUCUCACAAUGUGAUCUCUGCACAGGGUUCCCCUUCACCUCCCCCCGUAAGAGAAGCAGCCUGAAGCCCACUUUGGAAGCACAUGCUGACACCAUACUUGUACAGUCUGUAGAGCCAUGAGCCAGAUACACCUCUUUUUUUUUUUUUUUUUUUUGAGACGGAGUCUCGCUCUGUCGCCCAGGCUAGAGUGCAGUGGCCGGAUCUCAGCUCACUGCAAGCUCUGCCUCCCGGGUUCAUGCCAUUCUUCUGCCUCAGCCUCCCGAGCAGCUGGGACUACAGGCGCCCGCCACCUCGCCUGGCUAGUUUUUUGUAUUUUUUAGUAGAGACGGGGUUUCACCGUGUUAGCCAGGAUGGUCUCGAUCUCCUGACCUCGUGAUCUGCCCGUCUCGGCCUCCCAAAGUGCUGGGAUUACAGGCUUGAGCCACCGCGCCCGGCCUACUUCUUUUAAAAAGAAAUACCCAGAUAUUCCUUCAUAGCAAAACUACACAGACUGAGACAGGCAUCCUAGCAGACUCCCUUCACAUGACCUCUGGCCAACUUUGCUUUCACAUCAGCUGGUCAGAAACUUUCCUCCCCUGUUUUUGCACCAGGCGACCCUUCCUGCUCCCGUUAGGCUGACCCAGCAGAGAUCCUUCUGCCCUGUCUACCUACAAGGCUGUUCUAACUGAGAUAAGCAUUGUAAAGGAUGCCUGUUCUUGUCCUGGGCAAAUGCCAACUUCUUUCUGCAGAGUUUGAUCCUUCAGAGAUGUUUUGUUUUUCAGUUGUCUUCAUUCAGUUAAUAGAUUUCAGUGUUUUCUUGAUUCAGUAAACAGAUCCCUUCCAGCUGUGUCCGUUUGUUUUAG